rnacentral:rRNA from 1 species
GAAUAUUGGACAAUGGGUGAAAGCCUGAUCCAGCCAUCCCGCGUGAAGGAUGACGGUCCUAUGGAUUGUAAACUUCUUUUGUACAGGGAUAAACCUACUCUCGUGAGAGUAGCUGAAGGUACUGUACGAAUAAGCACCGGCUAACUCCGUGCCAGCAGCCGCGGUAAUACGGAGGGUGCAAGCGUUAUCCGGAUUUAUUGGGUUUAAAGGGUCCGUAGGCGGACCUGUAAGUCAGUGGUGAAAUCUCAUAGCUUAACUAUGAAACUGACAUUGAUACUGCAUGUCUUGAGUAAAUUUGAAGUGGCUGGAAUAAGUAGUGUAGCGGUGAAAUGCAUAGAUAUUACUUAGAACACCAAUUGCGAAGGCAGGUCACUAAGAUUUAACUGACGCUGAUGGACGAAAGCGUGGGUAGCGAACAG